rnacentral:rRNA from 1 species
AUUGAACGCUGGCGGCAGGCCUAACACAUGCAAGUCGAACGGUAACAGGAAGAAGCUUGCUUCUUUGCUGACGAGUGGCGGACGGGUGAGUAAUGUCUGGGAAACUGCCUGAUGGAGGGGGAUAACUACUGGAAACGGUAGCUAAUACCGCAUAACGUCGCAAGACCAAAGAGGGGGACCUUCGGGCCUCUUGCCAUCGGAUGUGCCCAGAUGGGAUUAGCUAGUAGGUGGGGUAACGGCUCACCUAGGCGACGAUCCCUAGCUGGUCUGAGGGGAUGACCAGCCACACUGGAACUGAGACACGGUCCAGACUCCUACGGGAGGCAGCAGUGGGGAAUAUUACACAAUGGGCGCAAGCCUGAUGCAGCCAUGCCGCGUGUAUGAAGAAGGCCUUCGGGUUGUAAAGUACUUUCAGCGGGGAGGAAGGGAGUAAAGUUAAUACCUUUGCUCAUUGACGUUACCCGCAGAAGAAGCACCGGCUAACUCCGUG